GCGCCUGUUCAGGUCAUCGCUUGCUCUGGUUCCCAGGCUUUGGCCUCUAGUGGACGAGAAUCACCGAGUCUGCGGGGCUAGACGCUGACCGCCCGGGCCAGCACCUAGGCGGGCGGGAGCUGUGCGGCCCAGGGUUCGCGCGGGCCGGGUAGAGGCUCGAGCCAGGACCCCCGAGCGUGAACCCCGGAGCCGGCGGCGCUGGGGCCAGAGGGGCCGGGCGGGAGGUGAUGGCGGAGGCGAAGGGGCGACGGGACCUGGGCCUGGCCCGUGUGUGUCCUCAGAGGCCUGGCGCCGGCCGUCGCUGUACGGUGAGCCCCAGGGAGGCGGAUCUGGGCCCCGAGAAGGACACCCACCUGGAUUUGCCCCAUAGGCCCGGCCCGGGCCCCUCGGGAGCAGAACAGCCUUGGUGAGGUGGACAGGAGGGGACCUCGUGAGCAGACGCGUGCGCCAGCGACAGCAGCCCGCCCCGGCCUCUCAGGAGCCGUGGGGCAGAGGCUGCGGAGCCCCAGGAGGGCCGGAGCCCUCAUGACUUCAGUGACCUGCUUCUGCCCCUCUAGGUCUAUCAGCCACAGUCUCUGCAAGUUUCCAAGAGCAGCAGAAAAUGAACACAUUGCAGCUGCUGGAGGAGGUGAAGUGGCAUCGAUGUCAUCUUUGAAAAGUUUCUACUUUGUCCCUUAAUGCCACCCUAACGUAUGAGCCUCUGCUUCAGAGGUUUGCAAGCCUGGCUGCGUAUUAGAGUCACCUAGGAGCUUAAGUGGCUUUUGAUGCAUUUCCAAGUAGAAUAAGGUCACACCUGGGUCCUGAGCUGGCGCCAUCACCGGAGACGCCAGGUGAUGUCCAUUCAUCAGAAAUAAUGAGCAAAGCAGCUGUGGCUUCUAAUCAGCCCAUCCCUCCAGGGUGUCAGAUGGAGGCCAAUUAGCGGACGCACUAGACAACCAAAUUCUGCCUUUCCAAGCAAAACAUCAGAAAAUGUUCUAGCCCUUAGCAUUGAUGCUGGAACCCAGUGUCUUGCUUCUGCUUGGGUUUUCAUGAUCUUUCCUUGCUCUGGGUGAGCUGGGGGCUGGUUCUACAUCAGAACCUUCAGAGGCACUAAGAAAUGCCACCUGGAGUGGAGUUAAAGAAGUUAUUAUUUUUUUUUAACUUCUACUAUUGUCAGAGGCGGGUGAACCAGAGCAACUCCAUUUUGAAUAGGGGCUGGAUAAAAUGAGGCUGAGACCUAUUGGGCUGCAUUCCCAGAUGGUUAAGGCAUUCUAAGUCACAGGAUGAGAUGGGAGGUUGGCACAAGAUGCAGGUCAUAAAGACCUUGCUGAUAAAACAGGUUGCAGUGAUGGCCGGGCGCGGUGGCUCACGCCUGUAAUCCCAGCACUUUGGGAGGCUGAGGCGGGCGGAUCACGAGGUCAGGAGAUCGAGACCAUCCUGGCUAACACGGUGAAAUCCCAUCUCUACUAAAAAUACAAAAAAGUAGCCGGAUAUGGUGGCGGGCACCUGCAGUCCCAGCUACUCGGGAGGCUGAGGCAGGAGAAUGGCGUGAACCCGGGAGGCGGAGCUUGCAGUGAGCCGAGAUAGCGCUACUGCACUCCAGCCUGGGUGACAGCAAGACUCCGUUUCAAAAAAUAAAUAAAUAAAUAAAUAAAUAAAUAAAUAAAACAGGUUGCAGUGAAGAAGCCGGUUAAAACCCACCAAGACCAAGAUGGCGACGAGAGUGACCUCUGGUCGUCCUCACUGCUACACUCCCACCAGCUUCAUGACAGUUUACAAAUGCCAUGGCAACGUCAGGAA
rnacentral:lncRNA from 1 species